rnacentral:rRNA from 1 species
AGAUUGAACGCUGGCGGCAUGCCUAACACAUGCAAGUCGAACGGGAGUAGCAAUACUCUAGUGGCGGACGGGUGAGGAAUACGUAGGAAUUUGCCCUUAAGUGGGGGAUAACCCGGGGAAACCCGGAUUAAUACCGCAUGACCUCGAAAGAGCAAAGUGGGGGAUCGCAAGACCUCACGCUUUUGGAGAAGCCUACGUCGGAUUAGCUAGUUGGUGAGGUAAUGGCUCACCAAGGCGACGAUCCGUAACUGGUCUGAGAGGAUGAUCAGUCACACCGGAACUGAGACACGGUCCGGACUCCGUACGGGAGGCACGCAGUGGGGAAUAGUUGGACAAU